rnacentral:rRNA from 1 species
CUAGAGUUUGAUCCUGGCUCAGGACGAACGCUGGCGGCGUGCCUAAUACAUGCAAGUCGAGCGGAGAUUUGAAAAGCUUGCUUUUCAAAUCUUAGCGGCGGACGGGUGAGUAACACGUGGGCAACCUGCCCUUGAGACGGGGAUAACUCCGGGAAACCGGAGCUAAUACCGGAUAACACAUAUCUUCGCAUGAGGAUAUGUUAGAAGGUGGCUUUUAGCUACCACUCAAGGAUGGGCCCGCGGCGCAUUAGCUAGUUGGUGAGGUAACGGCUCACCAAGGCGACGAUGCGUAGCCGACCUGAGAGGGUGAUCGGCCACACUGGGACUGAGACACGGCCCAGACUCCUACGGGAGGCAGCAGUAGGGAAUCUUCCGCAAUGGACGAAAGUCUGACGGAGCAACGCCGCGUGAGUGAUGAAGGUUUUCGGAUCGUAAAGCUCUGUUGUUAGGGAAGAACAAGUACCUGUUAAAUAAGCAGGUACCUUGACGGUACCUAACCAGAAAGCCACGGCUAACUACGUGCCAGCAGCCGCGGUAAUACGUAGGUGGCAAGCGUUGUCCGGAAUUAUUGGGCGUAAAGCGCGCGCAGGCGGUUCCUUAAGUCUGAUGUGAAAGCCCACGGCUCAACCGUGGAGGGUCAUUGGAAACUGGGGAACUUGAGUGCAGAAGAGGAGAGCGGAAUUCCACGUGUAGCGGUGAAAUGCGUAGAGAUGUGGAGGAACACCAGUGGCGAAGGCGGCUCUCUGGUCUGUAACUGACGCUGAGGCGCGAAAGCGUGGGGAGCGAACAGGAUUAGAUACCCUGGUAGUCCACGCCGUAAACGAUGAGUGCUAAGUGUUAGAGGGUUUCCGCCCUUUAGUGCUGCAGCAAACGCAUAAGCACUCCGC